GAUGAACGCUGGCGGCGUGCCUAAUACAUGCAAGUCGAGCGAACAGACGAGGAGCUUGCUCCUCUGACGUUAGCGGCGGACGGGUGAGUAACACGUGGAUAACCUACCUAUAAGACUGGGAUAACUUCGGGAAACCGGAGCUAAUACCGGAUAACAUGUUGAACCGCAUGGUUCAACAGUGAAAGACGGUCUUUCUGUCACUUAUAGAUUGAUCCGCGCCGCAUUAGCUAGUUGGUAAGGUAAAGGCUUACCAAGGCAACGAUGCGUAGCCGACCUGAGAGGGUGAGCGGCCAGACUGGAAGUGAGACACGGUCCAGACUCUGACGGGAGGCAGCAGUAGGGAAUCUUCCGCAAUGGGCGAAAGCCUGACGGAGCAAAGCCGCGGGAGUGAAGAAGGUCUUCGGCUCGUAAAACUCUGUUAUUAGGGAAGAACAAAUGUGUAAGUAACUAUGCACGUCUUGACGGUACCUAAUCAGAAAGCCACGGCUAACUACGUG
rnacentral:rRNA from 1 species